rnacentral:rRNA from 1 species
GCUGAACUUAAGCAUAUCAAUAAGCGGAGGAGAAGAAACUAACAAGGAUUCCCCUAGUAACGGCGAGCGAAGCGGGAAGAGCUCAAAUUUCUUCGGUGUCCGCGUUGUAAUCUCGAGACGUGUUUUCCGUGUGGCGCUAUGGACAAGUCCCUUGGAACAGGGCAUCGUAGAGGGUGAAAAUCCCGUACUUGCCAUGGCUGUACCAUGCUUUGUGAUACACGCUCUAAGAGUCGAGUUGUUUGGGAUUGCAGCUCAAAAUGGGUGGUAGACUCCAUCUAAAGCUAAAUAUCGGGGAGAGACCGAUAGCGAACAAGUACCGUGAGGGAAAGAUGAAAAGCACUUUGGAAAGAGAGUUAAAAGUACGUGAAAUUGUCGAAAGGGAAGCGCUUGAAGUCAGCCAUGCUGCUUGAGACUCAGCCUUGCUUUUGCUUGGUGUAUUUCUCGGUAGCAAGCCAGCAUUGGUUCGAGUCGUCGGAGAAGGGUAUGAGAAAUGUGGCAUCCUCGGAUGUGUUAUAGACUUGUACUGGAUACGACGAUUUGGAUCAAGGAACGCAGUGUGCCUCUGGCGGGUCUUCGGACACCUUCACACUUAGGAUGCUGGCGUAAUGGCUU